AUGAACGCUGGCGGCGUGCCUAAUACAUGCAAGUCGAGCGAACAGACGAGGAGCUUGCUCCUCUGACGUUAGCGGCGGACGGGUGAGUAACACGUGGAUAACCUACCUAUAAGACUGGGAUAACUUCGGGAAACCGGAGCUAAUACCGGAUAAUAUAUUGAACCGCAUGGUUCAAUAGUGAAAGACGGUUUUGCUGUCACUUAUAGAUGGAUCCGCGCCGCAUUAGCUAGUUGGUAAGGUAACGGCUUACCAAGGCAACGAUGCGUAGCCGACCUGAGAGGGUGAUCGACCACACUGGAACUGAGACACGGUCCAGACUCCUACGGGAGGCAGCAGUAGGGAAUCUUCCGCAAUGGGCGAAAGCUUGACGGAGCAACGCCGCGUGAGUGAUGAAGGUCUUCGGAUCGUAAAACUCUGUUAUUAGGGAAGAACAAAUGUGUAAGUAACUAUGCACGUCUUGACGGUACCUAAUCAGAAAGCCACGGCUAACUACGUG
rnacentral:rRNA from 1 species